UAAAUAUGAUGAGUUUCAGUUAGAUAAUAAGACGGUUGUAAUUGUGCGGUAAAUUCACCAAAAUCAAAGCUGCGCUCUCACCAUCCCUGUUUGGGAUGGUGAGCUCUAGUUUGUUUGUCUCGAAAGUCUGGUUCAUUUCGGGAGGUACAAAAGUACAGUCGAACUCCAAAAAUAUAAAACUCUUGUCUGCCUACAAACCCAGGUCUCGGUUCAGCUGAAGUGAAUGUGAAUGUCAAGAGGACCGGAGACACAUCCAAGAGCAAGAAGUGAACUACCGCGCAGGGCAUUCUGGCAACAGCAGAGCAGAGUCGGAAGAAAGGCACCAGAGGAUUGUCAACAUGUUAAUACCCCUGGCAGGAAGGUUUGGACUGAAUGGAGCUGCUUCAGUCGGCUGUCCGGUCCGACUCUCAAACUCUGCAGUUCAGUUUGAUUGGCUUGUGGGUUAAAUGCCUCAUCUGCUUAGCGCGUCACGCUGCCAUAGGCAGCCUGAGACCUGCUGACUCGUGGAAAGCCAUUCCAGCAUUUCAUCAAAACAAAAGUAUCAACUAUUAAGAGUCUCAUUAAAACCAACUGAUAUGAAAA